GGAGGGGGCUAGCGUUGUUCGGAAUCACUGGGCGUAAAGCGCACGUAGGCGGACUGGUUAGUUGGAGGUGAAAGCCCGGGGCUCAACUCCGGAAUUGCCUCCAAUACUGCCAGUCUAGAGUUCGAGAGAGGUGAGUGGAAUUCCUAGUGUAGAGGUGAAAUUCGUAGAUAUUAGGAAGAACACCAGUGGCGAAGGCGGCUCACUGGCUCGAUACUGACGCUGAGGUGCGAAAGCGUGGGGAGCAAACAGGGAUUAGAUACCCUGGUAGUCCACGCCGUAAACGAUGAGUGCUAGUUGUCGGGCGGCAUGCCCGUUCGGUGACGCAGCUAACGCAUUAAGCACUCCGCCUGGGACUACGGUCGCAAGACUA
rnacentral:rRNA from 1 species